UUCCCAGACUCCUACGGGAGGCAGCAGUGAGGAAUAUUGGUCAAUGGGCGCGAGCCUGAACCAGCCAAGUAGCGUGAAGGAUGACUGCCCUACGGGUUGUAAACUUCUUUUAUAAAGGAAUAAAGUGAGGCACGUGUGCCUUUUUGUAUGUAUUUUAUGAAUAAGGAUCGGCUAACUCCGUGCCAGCAGCCGCGGUAAUACGGAGGAUCCGAGCGUUAUCCGGAUUUAUUGGGUUUAAAGGGAGCGUAGAUGGGUUGUUAAGUCAGUUGUGAAAGUUUGCGGCUCAACCGUAAAAUUGCAAUUGAUACUGGCAGCCUUGAGUACAGUUGAGGUAGGCGGAAUUCGUGGUGUAGCGGUGAAAUGCUUAGAGAUCAUACAGAACACCGAUUGCGAAGGCAGCUUACCAAACUAUAUCUGACGUUGAGGCACGAAAGCGUGGGUAGCAAACAGGAUUAGAUACCCGUGUA
rnacentral:rRNA from 1 species